CACGUAGGGGGCAAGCGUUGUCCGGAAUUAUUGGGCGUAAAGAGCUCGUAGGCGGCUUGUUGCGUCGGUUGUGAAAGCCCGGGGCUUAACCCCGGGUCUGCAGUCGAUACGGGCAGGCUAGAGUGUGGUAGGGGAGAUCGGAAUUCCUGGUGUAGCGGUGAAAUGCGCAGAUAUCAGGAGGAACACCGGUGGCGAAGGCGGAUCUCUGGGCCAGUACUGACGCUGAGGAGCGAAAGCGUGGGGAGCGAACAGG
rnacentral:rRNA from 1 species